rnacentral:rRNA from 1 species
UCGGGAAUUUUGGGCAAUGGGCGAAAGCCUGACCCAGCAACGCCGCGUGAAGGAUGAAGUAUUUCGGUAUGUAAACUUCGUAAGAAUAGGAAGAAUCAAUGACGGUACUAUUUGUAAGCUCCGGCUAACUACGUGCCAGCAGCCGCGGUAAUACGUAGGGGGCAAGCGUUGUUCGGAUUUACUGGGCGUAAAGGGCGCGUAGGCGGCGUGACAAGUCACUUGUGAAAUCUCCGGGCUUAACUCGGAACGGUCAAGUGAUACUGUCGUGCUAGAGUGCAGAAAGGGCAACUGGAAUUCUUGGUGUAGCGGUGAAAUGCGUAGAUAUCAAGAGGAACACCAGAGGCGAAGGCGAGUUGCUAGGCUGACACUGACGCUGAGGCGCGAAAGCUAGGGGAGCGAACGGG